AUGAGGAACAAUUCGUAUUUAUGUAGGUACAUCUUCCAAGUAAGCCUCGUAGAGGGUCUGCCACAUAUCUCACAAAACGACGAAGCAUUUUUGGUUGCUUUUCAGUAUAACGACUCAAAGCGAGUAAUUUGGUAUUCGUUUCGAAAUUACAAGGAUUGCUACUAUUUCCUUAGAGAGAAAACCCUGAAUUUCUCAACAAACUAUCAAGGGCUUUAUGAGGUAAUUCCGAGUCGGAGAAGAGUUAAAAUCUACAUAGAUGUAGAGUGGUUGUUGGAAGAUGGUAUGACAGAAAUUGCCAUAUUUUCAGAAUUGAGACAUAAAUUCGCAUCUUUCAUCAGAACUGUUAUCAAUCCGGGGAACCCAGAAUUCUUUUGGUCAACUUCGAGUGAUCCAAGAAAAGCCUCGUAUCAUUGUAUUGUGGGGGGGGGGGGGAGCUACUCCAGCAAGAAGAAGAUAAAACUAAUUAUGGAACGGUUCAAAAAUUGGCUAACGCCGCAAAGUUUAGAGGUGUUAACCAUUGGGAACAAAUUCGUGGUAGAUACACAUGUUUAUUCCGACGAUUCACAACAGUUCCGAAUGUUUUAUUCUACGAAAAUGGAGAAAAACAAUGAGGGAAUUUAUGUAGAUCGUCCUUUUCUUUCCCUGCGUUCUGUAAGCGCAGCAACAUUCGGAAAUUGGCUGGCUCAAGUUAUACCAGCGGAGGAGGAAGGAAGUCCUCUUUCUUGAGCUUAAAGCUUUAGAAGGAGAUUCAACUCUAAUCAAAACUUUAUUAAAAUAUCUGUGAAAUGGGAAUUUUCCAAGAAUAGAUGGGCGAAGUUCAUACAUGUUCGUUGUUUUUUUACUUUACAAAGAACUGGUUAUUUUUCACUUAGAAAAAAAAGAGAAACAGUUGUGUUUGUGCAUGAGGCGAUGGAAAAAAAAUUACCAGUCGUCGCCUUUCACUUUGACUUGUCUAGAGCCUUUGACUCAGUUGACCAGCAUUUGCUAAUAACUACAUUAAAACACUAUAGAUUUAAAGGUAACGCUUUAAAUUAAAUACUUCAUAACACACAUCUCCUUAAUUUGUGUUUGUUGUUUUUUAGCCUUGCUUGCCCGUUUGCUUGUGCUUUCUUACUCAUUUCAUAACAUUUAUAUUUUAAUUUAAUAUCAGCUAUCACUUUAAACAGAUUACGAGACUAAAGCAUGGAAUUCAAGGACGGGAACCAAUCCAAGCGUGCGUCACCUUAGAAUAAUCGAUUCUGUAUACGACCAGCGAACUCAAAACCACAUGCGUCAAAUGGAAACUCGUUACACAUCACCGGUUUAUGCUUAGCGCACAACAGAAGCGGAGGGAAAUCCGCGUGGCUGGUCGGUUGGCUGGAGAGGAAGGGUAGAGGGUUCGGCGGGCGGGCGGGCGGCGAACGGUGGCCCAUUAGGGCAAGUUUUUCGCGCGGACGAGAAAUAAGAAAUUGCCGGAAAUAGAUAACGCUGAAGCAGAUGUUUGUUCUAAUGAUAAAAUCUUCCCCCGCGAUGGCUCGCCAUUUAUUCAAAACUUUGGGAACCUAAUCUGCGGCAAUAUUGUUAAUCUCGCCGAUUAGAGGAGUUGAGAUGUCGGCCAAUGACAUUCAUAUGUCCCGCGCCACACGCGCUCUCUCUCAAUAUUUGCACAACCGCGUAUUCGACGCAAGGUUCCGAUUGCAGUUAGGCUGUUUUGGCUGUGUAGGGCUGCGUAAUCGGUGCUAUCCAUCAGCGCCGAGUGGCCACCGAUCCGGCGCGGCGUCUCGAAAUAUUAAUUAUGCGGCGAUAAAUACCGCCCUCCGGCUUAAAGUACGAUUAUUUUUGAGUCUUCGCAACACCCGCGCACUAAUCGACCUCGUUAAGAUAAAUUCCGGUCGUUAGAUCGAGAUGCGGAUUGCCCGCUGCAACGAGGACCGAAAGAGUCCGUGAACCGUGUUUGCAGUCGGGAUGAUUGUUUGCAGGACAAGGGCAGAAAGCCGCAGAUUCACGGAGAUUCCCUAUAAAUUUCCGGAUUCUGUCCUUCUUUUUUUUUCAUCACUAGUAAAAAAACACAUUGGAUCUUGAGGCCAGACUCUUGAAAACAGUGACCAGAAAAUAGACUCUUGAUUCAAUCAGAUUUAAGCUUAAAUCAUGAACCAAGCCUCUUAAUUAGAGCGGAUUUCCUUUUGAUUCAAGCUUAAAUCUGAUUGAAUCAAGAGUCCAUUUUCUUGUCAAUGUUUUCAAGGGUCUGGGCUCUAGAUCCAAUGUGUUUUUUUGCCAGUGUUCUUAACUUUUCUUCGUUUUCUUUAUCAACUAGAAUCGAGGAAAAUUUCCAAAGCCAUGAUGAGAAUUGAAAAAUUCAAAAUACUUACUUACUAAUGGCGCUACAGCCCGGGGUGGGCUUUGGCUUCCAGGACGACGCGUCUCCAUCCUACCCUAUCCAUGGUAUUCGCUUUCCAUCCUGACACGUUCAUGACUCUAAAAUCUUUCUCUACCUCAUCUUGCCAUCUUAGCCCUAGCUUUCCUCUUUUUCUCUUCGAGGGAACUUUGGCUUUCAUGAUUCUCUUCGGCAUUCUUUUCUUCUCCAUUCUGCU
rnacentral:lncRNA from 1 species